rnacentral:rRNA from 1 species
UGGGGAAUAUUGGACAAUGGGCGAAAGCCUGAUCCAGCAAUGCCGCGUGAGUGAUGAAGGCCUUAGGGUUGUAAAGCUCUUUUACCCGGGAUGAUAAUGACAGUACCGGGAGAAUAAGCCCCGGCUAACUCCGUGCCAGCAGCCGCGGUAAUACGGAGGGGGCUAGCGUUGUUCGGAAUUACUGGGCGUAAAGGGCUCGUAGGUGGCCAACUAAGUCAUACGUGAAAUCCCUCGGCUUAACCGGGGAACUGCGCCUGAUACUGGUUGGCUUGAGUUUGGGAGAGGGACGCGGAAUUCCAGGUGUAGCGGUGAAAUGCGUAGAUAUCUGGAGGAACACCGGUGGCGAAGGCGGCGUCCUGGACCAAUACUGACACUGAGGAGCGAAAGCCAGGGGAGCAAA